UAGGGUGGUCAAUAUGCCCUCAAAGCACUGGAUCCUGUCUGAUCUGGGAAGCUAAGCUGGGUCAGCCCUGGUUUGUAUUUGGAUGGGAGGCCACCACAGGAUACCUGGUGCUGUAGGCU
rnacentral:rRNA from 1 species